rnacentral:rRNA from 1 species
AGAGUUUGAUCCUGGCUCAGGAUGAACGCUAGCUACAGGCUUAACACAUGCAAGUCGAGGGGAAACGACAUCGAAAGCUUGCUUUUGAUGGGCGUCGACCGGCGCACGGGUGAGUAACGCGUAUCCAACCUGCCCAUCACUUGGGGAUAACCUUGCGAAAGUAAGACUAAUACCCAAUGAUAUCUCUAGAAGACAUCUGAAAAGAGAUUAAAAGAUUUAUCGGUGAAUGGAUGGGGAUGCGUCUGAUUAGCUUGUUGGCGGGGUAACGGCCACCAAGGCUACGAUCAGUAGGGGUUCUGAGAGGAAGGUCCCCACAUUGGAACUGAGAACACGGUCCAAAACUCCUACGGGAGGCA